rnacentral:rRNA from 1 species
GUAGGUGGCAAGCGUUGUCCGGAAUUAUUGGGCGUAAAGCGCGCGCAGGCGGUUCUUUAAGUCUGAUGUGAAAGCCCACGGCUCAACCGUGGAGGGUCAUUGGAAACUGGAGAACUUGAGUACAGAAGAGGAAAGCGGAAUUCCACGUGUAGCGGUGAAAUGCGUAGAGAUGUGGAGGAACACCAGUGGCGAAGGCGGCUUUCUGGCCUGUAACUGACGCUGAGGCGCGAAAGCGUGGGGAGCGAACAGGAUUAGAUACCCUGGUAGUCCACGCCGUAAACGAUGAGUGCUAAGUGUUAGGGGGGUUUCCGCCCCCCUUAGUGCUGCAGCUAACGCAUUAAGCACUCCGCCUGGGAUACGGCCGCAAGGCUG